UGUGAAGGCUUUGGUUAAAUGCGAUGCUGCGAUCACAGCUGGAUACUUUGCUCAUCACUCAAUUCUCCUCAUCUCCACGUAGCCAAGCAGAUGAUGAUGGAGUGAGGUGUGCUAUAAUUGGCAUAAAGCAUCACUUAAUACUGUUGCUGACAUGUGAUGUUGCUGAGCUUCGGUGAAUCACUUGAUUAAAAUGAAGCCAACAAUUUCACUCUGUAAGGUCGUUUUACUGUAAGAUCCACAGAAUAAUUUACAACAGAAGAAGUAUAU
ensembl:lncRNA